UCAGGAGGCGGGACUUCCGGCGCGCGGCACUCUUGUUCUGCAGCCGCCGGAAGCGUCGAGUCUGCAGUCGCCCGGGCGACGGCGGGGUCCGCGCGGUCAGGCAGGCGGGAGUCAUGGAUGUAGAUGCUGAAAGAGAGAAGAUAACACAGGAGAUCAAGGAGCUGGAAAGGAUUUUGGAUCCCAGCUCCUCGGGCUCCCACGUGGAGAUCUCAGAAUCAAGUCUCGAGUCAGAUUCUGAAGCAGAUUCGCCGCCUUCUGAGGACUUGGAUCCUGCUGAUCCCCCGAUCUCGGAAGAAGAAAGGUGGGGCGAAGCCAGCAAUGACGAGGAUGAUCCCAAGGAUAAAACCCUCCCUGAAGACCCAGAAACCUGCCUACAGCUGAACAUGGUCUACCAGGAGGUCAUCCAGGAGAAGCUGGCCGAGGCCAACCUGCUGCUGGCCCAGAACCGGGAGCAGCAGGAGGAACUCAUGAGGGAUCUGGCUGGGUCCAAAGGCACCAAGGUGAAAGACAGCAAAAGCCUGCCCCCAAGCACAUACAUGGGGCACUUCAUGAAGCCGUAUUUCAAGGACAAGGUCACGGGCGUGGGGCCACCUGCCAACGAGGACACACGAGAGAAGGCUGCCCAGGGGAUCAAGGCUUUCGAGGAGCUCCUUGUGACCAAAUGGAAAAACUGGGAAAAGGCCUUGCUCCGAAAGUCAGUGGUGAGUGACCGCCUGCAGCGAUUGCUUCAGCCCAAGUUACUGAAGCUCGAGUACUUGCACCAGAAGCAGAGCAAAGUCUCCAGUGAGCUGGAGAGGCAGGCCCUGGAGAAGCAGGGCAGGGAAGCCGAGAAGGAGAUCCAGGACAUUAACCAGCUUCCAGAAGAGGCCUUGCUGGGAAACAGGCUGGACAGCCACGACUGGGAGAAGAUUUCCAAUAUUAACUUUGAAGGCAGCCGCAGUGCAGAGGAGAUCCGGAAGUUCUGGCAGAACUCGGAGCACCCCAGCAUCAACAAGCAGGAGUGGAGCAGGGAGGAGGAGGAGCGGCUGCAGGCGAUCGCGGCUGCACACGGCCACCUGGAGUGGCAGAAGAUUGCAGAGGAGCUGGGGACCAGCCGCAGCGCCUUCCAGUGCCUGCAGAAAUUCCAGCAGCACAACAAAGCUCUGAAACGCAAGGAGUGGACAGAGGAGGAGGACCGCAUGCUCACGCAGCUGGUGCAGGAGAUGCGCGUCGGCAGCCACAUCCCCUACCGCAGAAUUGUCUACUAUAUGGAAGGGAGAGACUCCAUGCAGCUGAUCUACCGAUGGACCAAGAGCUUGGAUCCUGGUCUGAAGAAGGGGUACUGGGCCCCAGAGGAGGAUGCUAAGUUGCUUCAAGCUGUUGCCAAAUACGGGGAGCAGGAUUGGUUUAAAAUCCGGGAAGAGGUGCCAGGUAGGAGCGAUGCCCAGUGCCGAGAUCGGUAUCUCAGGAGAUUACAUUUCAGCUUGAAAAAGGGUCGGUGGAAUUUAAAAGAAGAGGAACAGUUAAUUGAAUUAAUAGAAAAAUAUGGUGUUGGUCACUGGGCAAAAAUAGCUUCUGAGCUGCCCCAUCGGUCUGGCUCCCAGUGUCUGAGCAAGUGGAAGAUCAUGAUGGGGAAGAAGCAGGGUCUCCGGAGGCGGCGGCGGAGGGCCCGUCACAGCGUCCGGUGGAGCUCUAGCAGCAGCAGUGGCAGCGGCAGUGGCAGCAGUGGGGGGGGCAGCAGCAGCAGCAGCAGCAGCAGCAGCAGCGAGGAGGACGAGCCAGAGCCAGAGCCAGAGCAGGCACAGGCCGGGGAGGGUGACAGAGCGCUGCUGUCCCCACAGUACAUGGUCCCGGACAUGGAUCUGUGGGUUCCUGCCAGGCAGAGCACCAGCCAGCCAUGGAGAGGAGGGGCAGGGGCCUGGCUGGGAGGCCCCGCUGCCUCCCUCAGCCCUCCCAAGGGGUCCAGUGCCAGCCAGGGCGGCAGCAAGGAAGCUUCCACCACAGCCGCGGCUCCUGGAGAGGAGACGUGUCCGGCGCAGGUCCCUGCCAGGGCCCACGGCCCUGUCCCGAGGGCUGCGCAGGCCUCCCACUCAGCAGACACUCGCCUGGCGGGCGCAGAGAAGCAGGCCCUGGAGGGUGGGAGGCAUCUGCUGACAGUGCCUGUGGAGACCGUGCUGAGGGUGCUCAGGGCCAACACGGCUGCUCGGAGCUGCACACAGAAAGAGCAGCUGAGACAGCCACCCCUGCCCACCUCAUCCCCAGGGGUCAGCUCUGGUGACAGCGUGGCCCGAUCCCAUGUGCAGUGGCUACGGCACAGAGCCACCCAGAGUGGGCAGCGGCGCUGGAGACACGCUCUGCACCGGAGGCUCCUGAACCGCAGGCUGCUGCUGGCUGUGACCCCUUGGGUAGGGGACGUUGUCGUGCCCUGCACACAGGCUUCCCAGAGACCCGCCGUAGUGCAGACUCAAGCGGAUGGCCUCAGGGAGCAGCUGCAGCAGGCCCGCCUGGCCAGCACCCCUGUGUUUACCCUGUUUACCCAGCUGUUCCAGAUCGAUACUGCCGGCUGCUUGGAGGUCGUCCGAGAGAGGAAGGCCCUGCCACCCAGGCUGCCCCAGGCUGGUGCUCGGGACCCACCAGUGCAUCUUCUGCAGGCAUCCUCAAGUGCCCAGAGCACUCCAGGCCACCUCUUCCCAAACGUGCUGGCUCAAGAAGCCUCAAAGAGUGCCAGCCACAAAGGGAGCCGAAGACUGGCGUCCAGCCGGGUGGAGCGCACCCUACCCCAGGCGUCCCCGCUGGCUCCAGCCGGCCCCCGGCCCAAGCCCAAGACUGUGUCAGAGCUGCUUCAGGAGAAGCGGCUUCAGGAGGCCCGUGCCAGGGAGGCCACCCGGGGCCCGGUGGUGCUCCCGUCCCAGCUGCUCCCGUCCCAGCUGCUGGUCUCCUCACCUGUGAUCCUCCAGCCCCCUCUACCACACACCCCACACGGCCGCCCAGCCCCGGGUCCCACCGUCUUAAAUAUACCACUUUCUGGGCCUGGGGCCCCCGCAGCAGCCAAACCUGGCACUUCUGGCUCCUGGCAGGAGGCUGGGACUUCAGCCAAGGACAAGAGACUCUCCACCAUGCAAGCCCUGCCCCUCGCUCCUGCCUUCACAGAGGCCAAGGGCACAGCCCCUGCUGCUUCCCAAGCCCCUGCCCUGGGCCCCGGCCAGAUCUCUCUGAGCUGCCCUGAGAGUGGUCUCGGACAGUCUCAGGCCCCCGCUGCAUCCCGGAAGCAGGGCCUGCCUGAGGCGCCACCCUUUCUCCCCACAGCCCCCAGCCCCACCCCACUGCCCGUCCAGCCCCUCAGCCUGACGCACAUAGGAGGGCCACAUGUGGCGACCAGUGUCCCCCUGCCUGUCACCUGGGUGCUCACAGCCCAGGGGCUUCUCCCUGUUCCUGUGCCAGCUGUGGUGAGCCUUCCCAGGCCAGCAGGGACCCCUGGCCCCGCAGGGCUGCUGGCCACUCUGCUGCCUCCCCUGACUGAAGCUCAGGCAGCCCAGGGCCCCAGGGCCCCAGCGUUGAGCAGCUCUUGGCAGCCCCCAGCCAAUAUGAACAGGGAACCGGAGCCUUCCUGCAGGACAGACACCCCAGCCCCUCCCACACACGCCCUCUCCCAAAGUCCUGCAGAAGUGGAUGGCAGUGUGGCCUUUGUCCCUCGAGAGGCCCAGGUGGCCAGGGAGAUACCUGAGCCCAGGACGUCCUCCCACGCUGACCCUCCUGAAGCAGAACCCCCUUGGUCUGGGAGGCUGCCAGCCUUUGGUGGUGUCAUCCCAGCAAGUGAGCCAGGGGGGACGCCGGGGUCCCCCUCAGGGACACAGGAGCCCAGGGGGCCUCUGGGCCUGCAGAAGCCGCCCCUGACCCAGCCUGGGCCUGAGAAGGGGGCCCUGGACCUGGGCCUGCUGUCCCAGGAGGGCGAGGCGGCCACACAGCAGUGGCUGGGAGGCCAGCGGGGGGUGCGUGUGCCUCUUCUGGGAAGCAGACUGCCCUACCAGCCCCCGGCCCUGUGCAGCCUGCGAGCUCUGUCCGGUCUCCUGCUCCACAAGAAGGCCCUGGAGCACAAGGCCACCUCCCUGGUGGUGGGGGGCGAGGCUGAGCGGCCGGCCGGAGCACUGCAAGCCUCACUGGGGCUGGUGCGGGGGCAGCUCCAGGACAACCCGGCCUACCUCCUGUUGCGGGCACGGUUCCUGGCAGCCUUCACCCUCCCUGCGCUCCUGGCCACCCUGGCCCCCCACGGUGUCCGCACCACCCUCUCCGUACCUUCGAGGGUGGGCUCUGAGAGUGAGGAUGAAGACCUCCUGAGCGAGCUGGAACUCGCAGACAGGGACGGGCAGCCGGGCUGCACGACAGCCACAUGUCCCAUUCAGGUAGGGUGGGCGCCCAGCCCCACUUCCCCAUGGCAGGCGGCGGUCCCUGGGGUGCCCUCGCCUGCCUGGAGCAGUGGGGUGGGGGCUGGUGGAAGUUGCGGGCAGGAAGGCUGGCUGCUGGGUGUCUUAGGAGGAGGAAGCUGGCUCCUGGCCUGCCCAGUUGCGUGUAGAUUCUGCAGAAGUGGCCUCCCUUUGGGGCAGUGUGGAAAAGGGGAGAAGAGAGGCCUCAUUCUCGUGCAGGAGCCUCCGGCCUUCCUGAUGCUGCCCAGCCAGGUGGCCUUGUCUGAGCGAGAAGCUCUGGGACGGACGCUGACCCGGCUCUGAGCCGCACACGUCCCACACACGUGUGCUCCCAGGGUGGGCCAUGGGCACAGUGGAGGGUGGUGGCUGUGUUUGGAUUUCUGGGGUCCCAAAGGUCCCUCUCUGCUGUCACCUCUCUGAGUAUCCUUGGGAAGAGUUUUCCAAGCUCUGUAGGUGAAACCUUGUUUGGAACCCUGGAAAGCAUGUGGAGCUGGGGCCCCCAGACAGGCCUUCCCUGGUGCCAGGGUGCCCACUUGCAGCAGCCGGGAGGCUGGCGUCCCUGAGAAACCACCAGAAGCAGGCAGCCUCAGCUGGACCUGUGGGCCUGUCGUAGGGAGUGUGGCAGAGGGCCUUCCAUCUCUCCGCAGGGUUGUGUCUCACAAGUCCCUGGGCUGAAGUGUGGGAGGAAGCAAUGUCCAAGAGUGGGGGAGGACCCCGGCCAGCCAGGGGAAGAGGCCCUCUGUGCCACAUCCGUGUACAGCCUCCUGCCCUGCCCGGGUGUGAUGGCUGUCCCAUGGGGGAGUGGGAGGCCGACCACAGGGAUGGCUUAGACAGGGUCAGAGCCCCCGAGGGAGGGAGAGCACAGUCACGUGUGGCCCCAGGAGUGCCUGGAGCAGCUCCCGCCCGAGCUGAGGGUGCCCUGUCCCAAGUGGGACACUAACCCACAGGGCCCCUCCUCACUCCCUGUCCCUUCCCCGUCCAUCAUGGCUUGGGGGUGUCACUCUUGUCCCCACUGCCUGGAUUUUCUUUCAGGGAGCCCCAGACUCUGGUAAAUGCUCUGCCUCCUCCUGCCUGGAUGCUUCUAGUGACCCUGACGACCUGGACGUGCUCAGAACCCGGCAUGCCAGGCACACCCGGAAGCGGAGGCGGCUGGUGUGAGCAGCAGGACAAGCACUUUCUCAGAAGCCUGUGGCCCUGCUGAUAAGAGACAGCCCACCCCCAGCCCGCAAGAGAGGCAGCUAGAGGCCAGGUAUCUGCUGGCCGCUGACCGACCAGGUCCGCAGUGAACAGAGGCGGGCCUGCCGACUGACUGUGUGGCAUGGAGCAUGGCUGUUCCCCAAGUGCACACCUGAACACUUGGAGGAAUAAAGUUCUGUUUUUAAUUGUGGAGCGGGA